UAGUGGCGAACGGGUGAGUAACACGUGGGCAAUCUGCCCUUCACUCUGGGACAAGCCCUGGAAACGGGGUCUAAUACCGGAUAUGAGCCUGGGAGGCAUCUCCUGGGUUGUAAAGCUCCGGCGGUGANGGAUGAGCCCGCGGCCUAUCAGCUUGUUGGUGAGGUAAUGGCUCACCAAGGCGACGACGGGUAGCCGGCCUGAGAGGGCGACCGGCCACACUGGGACUGAGACACGGCCCAGACUCCUACGGGAGGCAGCAGUGGGGAAUAUUGCACAAUGGGCGAAAGCCUGAUGCAGCGACGCCGCGUGAGGGAUGACGGCCUUCGGGUUGUAAACCUCUUUCAGCAGGGAAGAAGCGAAAGUGACGGUACCUGCAGAAGAAGCGCCGGCUAACUACGUGCCAGCAGCCGCGGUAAUACGUAGGGCGCAAGCGUUGUCCGGAAUUAUUGGGCGUAAAGAGCUCGUAGGCGGCUUGUCACGUCGAUUGUGAAAGCCCGAGGCUUAACCUCGGGUCUGCAGUCGAUACGGGCUAGCUAGAGUGUGGUAGGGGAGAUCGGAAUUCCUGGUGUA
rnacentral:rRNA from 1 species